rnacentral:rRNA from 1 species
UACGGAGGAUGCAAGCGUUAUCCGGAUUUAUUGGGUUUAAAGGGUGCGUAGGCGGACCUAUAAGUCAGCGGUGAAAGACUGUCGCUCAACGAUAGCAUUGCCGUUGAUACUGUAGAUCUUGAGUAUAUUUGAGGUGGGCGGAAUGUGUAGUGUAGCGGUGAAAUGCUUAGAUAUUACACAGAACACCAAUUGCGAAGGCAGCUCACUAAACUAUAACUGACGCUGAGGCACGAAAGCGUGGGGAUCAAACAGG